AUGGCGGCAGCGUGCUCCCUCUCUCCCCUCCCUCUCGCGCCACCCGCGAUACCCAGGCCAGCGCUCUUCUCGAGGUGCGUCGCUGCUCCGCGCCGUGGUAGGAAUGCCGGGGCAGGCACCGGGCGCUUGCGCCUCGCCAGGAGGCUGCGCCCGCCUGCCGCCGCCAUCGAAGAGGUGGAGCAGACCGAGGCCAUGAUGAGGGUGGCCGCCGACGACGACAGCAUCACCGCCACCGUGGUGUCGGUGCUGCUCACGGUCUCGUUCGUCGGGCUCUCCCUCCUCACAAUCGGGGUGAUCUAUCUGGCGGUGCAGGACUUCUUGCAGAAGAGGGAGAGCGAGAAGUUUGAGAGGGAGGAGGCUGAGAGGCAGAAAGAGGAGGCGAGGCAGAAGAGGGCCAAGGCCAGGGGAAAGAAAAGAAAUCGACGAUGA
rnacentral:rRNA from 1 species